rnacentral:rRNA from 1 species
GACAGAGGAUGCAAGUGUUAUCCGGAAUGAUUGGGCGUAAAGCGUCUGUAGGUGGCUUUUUAAGUCCGCCGUCAAAUCCCAGGGCUCAACCAUGGACAGGCGGUGGAAACUACCAAGCUGGAGUACGGUGGGGGCAGAGGGAAUUUUUGGUGGAGCGGUGAAAUGCGUAGAGAUCGGAAAGAACACCAAUGGCGAAAGCACUCUGCUGGGCCGACAUUGACACUGAGAGACGAAAGCUAGGGGAGAGAAU